rnacentral:lncRNA from 1 species
AACGAACACAGUUGUUAUAGCUAAAAGAUGCUGCGUAGCGUUUUGUUUGAACUAUAGCAGGAGAAAACCACCACAUUAAGUUUCAUCAACUGGCCAAGGACCAGGUUAGAUGAACCUCAUGUUUUCAUACUAUACACCGUAAAGUUGGAAAGCUGUGGACUCCGGUUAUUAACGUUACUCGAUGCAUUUGUGUGUUCGAAGCACUUCAUUCACUGUACAUCGUUAGCUAACACUUGUGUGUUUUUAACUAGUUAUGUGUAGUACCUGUGUAAACCUGGAGAUUCAACCAAGUAGAUGUAGCCAUAGGGCCAUUUGGAAGGGUUGUCUGCACAGGAUCGACAAAGACUGGAAGUAGUUACGCACCAAAUCUAAAACUAGCGAAUUAGAUCCGAGAUGAAUUUCUCUCUCUAGCAAGCCAACGAACGUCAGUCAACCGGCGAAAAAGCUAGGAGUAAACAGCGACGCAGUUUUAAGAACAAAUUGUUAUUUACAAUGACGGCCAAACCCGGAUGACGCUGGGCCAAUUGGCCGGGGUCUUGUCAUCCCUCCUGCCCAUCAUAAUCACGUACUGUCGCAGCUCCGUGCAGAGUGGACAUCACUCAUCCUUCUAGCUAGCAGGCACACGGACAGUUCAUCAGUGGGCAUGGCAGUUAUUGAGUUUUUGAGGCAAGUCAGUUAAGAACAGUUUGGGGGCUCCCGAGUGACGCAGCGGUCUACCCCGGCCUAACCCGGACGACGCUGGGCCAAUUGUGCGCCGCCCUAUGAUACUCCAAACACAACCGGUUGUGAUACAGCCUGCAAUCGAAC